GUCCCUUUUGGGACAUCCGAUCAAAUUGAAACAAUACAGAAAAGAUUAGCAUGGCCCAGCAUAAAGAUGCACAUAUAGAUGGAAAAAUACAAAAUGAUU